AAUUUCUAAAUUUGUAAAAUCAAAUGUUGACCACCACUUAAAUUUACGAUUGGCAAAGAUCCAACUGUUGGAACGUAAUGAAAUUUUAAUAUGUUGUUCUAGAAGCAUAAUGUAGACUUUAGGAAGCCACGGAUCUGAAAUCUGAUAGGCGGAUCUUCCAGUUUAGAUUUCUAAGGUUGUGGACCCUACUCUCGACCUUGAUCGACGAUUGGCUUUUUAGUCAACUAGCCCGAGUUCUUCUAGUGUGUCAGUUAUCUUGGAGUGCAAUUGAGAUUUCAUGGAGCUUGAUGGGCUCAUCAUGAUGACGUGUGACUCGAUUCACGUACUAGUGGCAUCGUAUUAUAUUAUACUUGUUUAUUAAGUUUGUUUUGAUUUUUGCAUUGAAAAUGUUUGUGGAAUGUGGUUUGAUUUGUAUGAUUGGUAUGAUGUGAUGAAAUGUGAGGGCUAAUAGUGGACCGUUAACCCACCGCAUGGGGCUUCGUUGCUUCGUUGAUCCGUUUUAAACUUAGUACGUGUGCUUUGUUUCAUUUCAUUUAGCCUUC
rnacentral:lncRNA from 1 species